UGGAUCCCUUCGGGGUGAAGCUCGUGGAACGAGCGGCGGACGGGUGAGUAACACGUGGGCAACCUGCCUGUAAGACCGGAAUAACCCCGGGAAACCGGGGCUAAUGCCGGGUAAUACUUUUCUUCGCAUGAAGGAAAGUUGAAAGAUGGCUUCUUGCUAUCACUUACAGAUGGGCCCGCGGCGCAUUAGCUAGUUGGUGAGGUAACGGCUCACCAAGGCGACGAUGCGUAGCCGACCUGAGAGGGUGAUCGGCCACACUGGGACUGAGACACGGCCCAGACUCCUACGGGAGGCAGCAGUAGGGAAUCUUCCGCAAUGGACGAAAGUCUGACGGAGCAACGCCGCGUGAACGAUGAAGGUCUUCGGAUCGUAAAGUUCUGUUGUUAGGGAAGAACAAGUACCGUGCGAAUAGAGCGGUACCUUGACGGUACCUAACGAGGAAGCCCCGGCUAACUACGUGCCAGCAGCCGCGGUAAUACGUAGGGGGCAAGCGUUGUCCGGAAUUAUUGGGCGUAAAGCGCGCGCAGGCGGUUCCUUAAGUCUGAUGUGAAAGCCCACGGCUCAACCGUGGAGGGUCAUUGGAAACUGGGGAACUUGAGGACAGAAGA
rnacentral:rRNA from 1 species